GACGAACGCUGGCGGCGUGCUUAAUACAUGCAAGUCGAACGGAAAGGCCCUGCUCUUGUGGGGUGCUCGAGUGGCGAACGGGUGAGUAACACGCGAGUAACCUGCCCUUGACUGUGGGAUAACUCCUGGAAACUGGGGCUAAUACCGGAUAGGAGCUCCUGCUGCAUGGUGGGGGUUGGAAAGUUUCGGCGGUUGGGGAUGGACUCGCGGCUUAUCAGCUUGUUGGUGGGGUAGUGGCUUACCAAGGCUUUGACGGGUAGCCGGCCUGAGAGGGUGACCGGCCACAUUGGGACUGAGAUACGGCCCAGUCUCCUACGGGAGGCAGCAGUGGGGAAUAUUGCGCAAUGGGGGGAAGCCUGAUGCGGCAACGCCGCGUGCGGGAUGACGGCCUUCGGGUUGUAAACCGCUUUCGCCGGUGACGAAGCGUGAGUGACGGUAAUGGGUAAAGAAGCACCGGCUAACUACGUG
rnacentral:rRNA from 1 species